GCACUUUGAAUCGCGUGGUGACUUCCGGCUUGAGGGUGAAUGAAGAAUAGUCAGGUGGUGAGUGGAACGUCUCUCCGGGUGUCGGAAUUAAAAACGGACCUGGAGGAUAUUGAUCUCCAAGAACAUGCCCUGGCGGCGGCUGCAGGGCAUUUCCUUCGGGAUAUAUUCGGCUGAAGAGCUCAAGAAAUUAAGUGUUAAAUCCAUUACGAACCCUCGGUACCUGGACAGCCUGGGGAACCCAUCGGCAAACGGCCUGUACGAUUUAGCUUUGGGCCCUGCAGAUUCCAAAGAGGUGUGCUUCACCUGCGUGCAGGACUUCAGCAACUGUUCUGGGCACCUGGGCCACAUUGAGCUCCCACUCACGGUGUAUAACCCUCUCCUCUUCGAUAAGCUGUACCUGCUGCUUCGGGGCUCUUGUUUAAACUGCCACAUGCUGACUUGUCCCCGGGCCGUGAUUCCCCUCUUACUCUGCCAGCUGAGGGUUCUGGAAGUCGGGGCCCUACAAGCAGUCUACGAGCUUGAGAGAAUUCUGAACAGGGGAGUUUCUGGAAGAAAACGCCGAUCCCUCUGCCUCUGAAAUUCAGGAGGAAUUAGAACAAUACACAACUGAAAUUGUGCAGAACAAGCUCCUGGGGUCCCAGGGCGCACAUGUGCAGAGCCACUCAUGUGGCUGGACUGUGGAUGUGCCUUCCUCAGAACCCUGAGGUCCUUCUGAGGCAGGCCAGCUGCAUCCAGAGGGCUUCCUUUUACAAGUGAAGGUAACUAGCGCUUAUUGAGUACUGGCUGUAUUUCAAGCCCCCACUGCAUUCAUGAUUCUUUAUCUUAGUAAGAGCUUACUGAGGUGGUUAUUACUCUUAUUCCCAUAUUAUAAUUGAGGAAACUGAAGGCUUCAAGAGGUCACUCAGUAAUUAUCAGAGAUCAAGUAUAUUAGGGUUCUAUGGAAGAUUUUGUUUAAGAAAGUGGUGGUGGGGGUGUUUCCUCUGGUUAAAAAUAAAAGGUGAAAACAUAAAGUAAAUAUAUUGGAUUCUCUUCAAAAUGGCACUCCUAGGUUCUCUGA